GCAAUCGGGGGACUACACAUGCGAGUCGCACGGUAACAGGAGCAGCUUGCUGCUUUGCUGACGAGUGGCGGACGGGAGAGUAAUGUCUGGGAAACUGCCUGAUGGAGGGGGAUAACUACUGGAAACGGUAGCUAAUACCGCAUAACGUCGCAAGACCAAAGAGGGGGACCUUCGGGCCUCUUGCCAUCGGAUGUGCCCAGAUGGGAUUAGCUAGUAGGUGGGGUAACGGCUCACCUAGGCGACGAUCCCUAGCUGGUCUGAGAGGAUGACCAGCCACACUGGAACUGAGACACGGUCCAGACUCAUACGGGAGGCAGCAGUGGGGAAUAUUGCACAAUGGGCGCAAGCCUGAUGCAGCCAUGCCGCGUGUAUGAAGAAGGCAUUCGGGUUGUAAAGUACUUUCAGCGGGGAGGAAGGCGAUAAGGUUAAUAACCUUGUCGAUUGACGUUACCCGCAGAAGAAGCACCGGCUAACUCCGUGCCAGCAGCCGCGGUAAUACGGAGGGUGCAAGCGUUAAUCGGAAUUACUGGGCGUAAAGCGCACGCAGGCGGUCUGUCAAGUCGGAUGUGAAAUCCCCGGGCUCAACCUGGGAACUGCAUUCGAAACUGGCAGGCUAGAGUCUUGUAGAGGGGGGUAGAAUUCCAGGUGUAGCGGUGAAAUGCGUAGAGAUCUGGAGGAAUACCGGUGGCGAAGGCGGCCCCCUGGACAAAGA
rnacentral:rRNA from 1 species